UUAAAAAAGGCGAAACUGGGGAGAGUUUGUGUGGCAGGACUGUGGCGGCAGUGAGAGCAAUUGGCACCGGCCCUUAUGUCCGGCUCAGUCAAGAGCUGGACUUCCUGACCAUCGCCAUCCACAUGCUCUAUGCCUGGGUCUGAGUUCAACGUCUACUUUGAGAGGCUUGACUUCAAGUUCUAUGCCAAGCUGUACGUACUCAGAUUAACCCUUCCUGGAAAAAUUGUAGAAAAUGGAAGCGAGCAAGGGUCCUAUGAUGCAGAUAAAGGAAAUUUUACCAUUCGCCUGCCCAGGGGCUAGACAUGUUAGCUGCUCUUCUGGCACCAAGAAAAUCCAGGACAGUGAGACCACUUGUGGAAGAAAUAGGUGCUUCUGAGAUUCCUGAAGUGGUUGACGAUGAAGAGUUUGAUUGGGAAAUUGAGCAGACACCCUAUGAAGAGGUAUCAGACAGUGCUAUGAAUCUGCAGUGCCACUAUGGAUUUGGAAACUUACAAUCAGGAGUGUUUCAGUGGUUACAGGAUGAAUUGAGUGAUGUUAUUGAUAUUAAGGAUCCAGAUUUCAGCCCUGCAGCUGAACUGAGACAGAAGUUCCUGGCCACUGAGCUGGCCAAGUUUGAUCCUGAUCAUUAUCUAAUUGACAUUUUUGAAGACAAGGCGGUUGAACAGAUUUUGAAGUACAAUCCUUGGUGGACUGACAAAUAUUAAAAAAUCAUGGCCUUUUUGGAAAGAGUCAGGAGCAAGAAAUCAUGCUUGUUUAGUGUCUUUUUCUGAAGAAGAGAAAUAUCAGCUACAAAAAUUUGUCAGUAAAUCUUAUCUGCUGGACAAGAGAACCUGUUGUCAAGGGUACUACAGUUUGAUUGAUGUCCUUCUGGAAUAUUGCUAUGAAACCUGUGUCACUGAAGGAGAGAAGAACGUUGAAUCUGCAUGUAAUAUCAGGAAACUGAGUCCAGCAUUAUGGUGGUUUGAGACUUGGACUAAUGUUCAUGCUAUCAUGGUGUCUUUUGGAAGAAGGGUGUUGUGUUACCCACUCUACUGCCAUUUCAAGCUGGUGAUGAAGGCUUACAGGAACACUAUAAAGAUAUUACAACUAGGUAAAAGUGCAGUUUUAAAGUGUCUCUGGAUAUUCGCAAAAUUUUUCAGGAAAACAACACAGCAUACGUACUGAAUGAUCUCUACAUCUCAGUCUACUGUGUGUGCAUUCAGAAAGUCAAAUCUAAAAGUUGGCAGUUCUUGCAGAAGCCUUAAAGGAAGUCUCCCUUACGAAGGCCCAGCUGGGGUUAGAACUGGAAGAACUAGCAGCAGCAGCACUUCUUGUCCAAGAAGAAACUGCAUUAAAAGCAGCCCAUUCAGUUUCUGGGCAGCAGACACUUUGCUCCAGCUCUGAGGCAAGUGACACAGAGGAGUCAGACAGCACCGUGUCAUCUGGAAAUGAAAGCUCAGACUCAGAUUCAAAAUAAGUUAAACUCAAAGACAGUCCAUCUAAGAUAGUCAGUUCUUUGCAAGGUCCCUUUGUGGAAAGCAGUGGCCUUCUUAUUGUUGAUGGUGGAGUAUGCAGAAACAUAGCCAUCCAGGAAUCCGAUACCAAUCAGGGAAAGCCACUUGCCUUUUUCCGGUGUCUUGGAGUGUCUGGGCCUCUGAUAGAGGAGUGUGGGGAACAACUGAAGACCACAGUUCAGGCUUCCGAACCCAAGGGCACCACUGCUGUAACAAUAUGCAGGAGAGACACAGCUGUCAGACACCAAAUAAUUGA